UCUGGCUUAUAGCCCAGCGGUCUCGGUAGAGUGCCCAACUUAAUGCUGGUAACUACCGACGAGGGUUGCGCUCGUUGCGGGACUUAACCCAACAUCUCACAACACGAGCUGACGACAGCCAUGCAGCACCUGUCUCCGCGUCCCCGAAGGGAACCCCCACUUUCAUGGGGUAGCACGGGAUGUCAAGCCUAGGUAAGGUUCUUCGCGUAGCGUCGAAUUAAACCACAUGAUCCACCGCUUGUGCGGGCCCCCGUCAAUUCCUUUGAGUUUUAAUCUUGCGACCGUAAUUCCCAGGCGGAUUACUUAAUGCGUUAGCUGCGUCACCGAGACAAUUAGGAGUCCCGACAACUAGUAAUCAUCGUUUAGGGCGUGGACUAC
rnacentral:misc_RNA from 1 species